rnacentral:lncRNA from 1 species
CCCGCCCCGCCGCCCGGCUCCAGCCUCCCCACGCUCAGCAGCCGCCAAAGCCUGGAGAGGUGGAAUUUCGCGGGCACCGCUCCCUGCUCUGGACUCGUGGAGCGGCACUGGGCAUGCUCAGUCGCCGAAGCCCGUGCAGGUCUCAAGUAGGAAGCUCGUGCGCUGCACCCGCAGCUUGAUCCAGGUGCUCCGGGAAGGGCGAGACUGGAGCCGAGCCGCCGGGCGCCGGAGCCGAAGCGAGCGCCGCGCGCAGCGCUGGUUGGAGCUGCUGUGUGUGAGCUGCUGAGGUCCGCGGCCAAGCAUGCUGUGGUUGGAUCUGCCCAGCCGGGGAACAGAAAUAUUUGCUGGAUGGAAAAUCCAUAAAAGAAAGCUCCUGUGAAAACCAGAGACAGACGAUAACCUAAGCAAAAUCAGGUCGGUAUAAGUUAAAACAGGCUGGAUAAAGUAGGUUGGGUUGUAUCGGAAAAAGCAGUUGUAUUAAUUUUAUGAAGUGUCUUUGAAGCAGCCCCCACC